CUGUAAUUAGAAGAAGAAAACCUAUUAUUUUUCCCACCGAUGUCCUGGAAGGAGCACAGAAGCAAGCGAUAGCAGACUUCAGAAAUCUCCAUGGCAAGUUCCAGGCACUCGCCAGUCUCGUGGCAGGACUCAAAGAGGCUGCAAUCAAUGUCACAGUCACAGUUGCAGUCAUUGUUGGAGUGGUCUUCAUCGGAGGUCUGGUAGUAUCUAUUGGAUGGACAACAGGAAAUCUUUUCUGGGCUGCCUGUUGCUGUGCUCUUAUUCAGUCUUUGCUGGAAGUCAAUGCACAAACACCCAAAGCUUUUGUGGAAAGUGGAGCAAGUCUUCAGACUCUCCAGUUCUGGUUCUUACUGCUGUACCUGGUUGUUCUGGAUGCAUGGGACAUGGUGUCCUUAGCCCAUGAAUUAGAUUUGGUAUCUGGGUAAGGACUGAGAUGAUCUUAUGAAAGCUGUACUCACAGUGGGCAGAAAACAAUUACAGAUUCCUCAUCUAUUUACAGUUUGGCUUCUAUUAAAGGUUUGAUUCCGUGCAACUGUUUAAUGACUGCUAGAUGGCCUAGCCAAAGAGAAGGGGUAACAGCAAAUACAGAGAACCACCCUUACAGAGGGCAGUGCAGAUGGAUUCUCAGCCCAAGGCCCUUCUUCUUUCACUCCCAGAUUUUACCACUUUUUCAUUUACAGCCUUGUCAACUUCCAAAACAAGACAAAAAAUAUAUAUAUAAAAAAUUGGAAAACAAUAUCAGGAAGGAUCAUGUCAGCCUGUGACAGAAGACUUUCUGUUCUAUUCAGUCCCCCACAAAAAAACAUAUGUAUGUAUUGGUUACCACCCCAAGUUCAAACUAUGGCAUCUGGGGAAGCUGGUGGAGUGCAGCAGGGCUCCAAGCAGGUGCAAGAUUCUGACGGUGUGAAUCCUGUUGGAUUGCAAAGAACCAAACGUUUCCAUUUUCUUCCCUCCUUGUUUUUGGAAAAGAAAAAUGCUUUCAACAACACAAAUGUUUUUUCAUUGGUUCGUUCAGGAAAGCAUAUGGUUACAUCCGCAUUUCUUGCCCUGGGAUGACUAACUGUGAACUCAUUCAACUGCAUUGGUUCUGUUGUGGCAUUUUUUUAUCUCACGUAACAUAAAGUUCACAGCCAGGAAGUUUCCAGAAUUAUGUUCCUUUUUUUCCACCUUUCUUUUAUAUGAAAGAUUUCUUGAUGGAAAACAAAAUUAAAAAUCAUUCUGAUGUCUUUAUGUAUACAAAAAGAAGGCAGUUAUAGCAGGUAGCAAGAACAAA